UAAUGGACGUCUCUGUCGGCUUCAUAAUGUUACCGCUCUUGAGUCUCCCUCAAACUGGUCUCCUAAGAGGAGUAAAGACUGGACCCACUACCAGAGAUCCUGCAAGUCCAUUUUUGCCUCACACCAUACCUGGUACAACUUACUGUGUAACACCAGGAUGGACUGCCCAGACCCCAACAGUGAUUGUCUGGCAGGCAGAUGUUUAUGUCAUUCAGGCUUCAACUUCAAUGAAGCCACGAAGGAGUGUCAUGCUCCAAGGACAUCGUCAAGACUGGCAGGCAACAGGAGCCAGGAGUGGUGUCUACACCAUUCAGCUACCGAACAACAAACCUCUGGAGUAUGUGUGACAUGGAGUCUAGCGGCGCGGCUGGCUGGUCAUCCAGAGACGUCGCGACAACUCAGUUAACUUCCACCGGAACUGGACAGAAUAUGAAAACGGGUUUGGUAACAUCUCUGGAGAUUUCUGGCUGGGCCUGUCCGCACUUCACAUACUGUCGUAUUAUGGAGAUUGGCGCUUGAGAGUGGACUUCAUAGCUGAGUCAGGAACUCGUCACUGGGCUCAGUAUGGGUGGUUCUAUGUGGACAGUCCUAGGAAUAACUACGCACUUCACGCGGACGGGUACUCGGGUGAUGCGGGUACGUACGUGACCACUGAACAGUAAGAAAGAGUGAGACGCAUGUUAGAUGGCAGACUGCCUGUCUGGCUGGUGAAGAAAUAAGUGGAUCACUACGUUUUUUGAGUGUUGUAGCUUCGCGUGCAUGAUAUGUGGUGGGUGACAGCGUCUCCUAUCGCGUGCGCUUCCUUUGAUGUAACUAGAAAAAACAAGUGUAAUGAUCAGGGAAAAAGAGAAAAGAAAACGAUUUCUCGGGUUUCUUUCUUGUCCGGAUUUGUUUUCUUUUUGGCGUUCUUAGGAGGCUUCUAACCUUAUCGUUCAGUCUUGACCAGACUUGUUUAAAAGAGUAAUUUCUCGGGUUUGGCUGUCGUCCGUCAUGCCAGUCUCUUGGUGUGCUUCAUUACUCCGCCAUCUGUGACGAAUUCUUUGUUGUUUAGUUUCGGUAACAGGCUUUUUUUUUUUUACAUGGUGCGCGUUGUGAGCCCUACCACAAUCUACUGUACCUCUAGGUGAGGUGUCCACCUUAGUCGCCUCUUACGGCAUGCCUGGCUGAUGGCAGGGACCUAUUCUUACAGUAGCGGUGGCGCAACGGUAUUCGCCUGAAUGAAUGAAUGAAUGAAGAG